AGUCAGUUGGAGGAUAGGAGGGAAAGGGGAGUUGAUAAGGAAGAGAAUAGACCAGAGAAAGAUAGGACUGAAUAUUUACAGCCAACAGGGUCUCUUGAGUCUUAAGAACCUAUCAACAAGCACCUUUAAGACCGAGAUUCCUGUCACCUUUCUAGUGUGAAAAGUCAACCACCAUCCUUCUCAUAACAUCACAGCUUUUGAUUAAUAAUGCAUGCAGAGUUCACUGGGUGAUCCUGUGCCUGGAUACAAAUUGAGCCAGAAGCUUUUCCAACCAAAUAUUGCUGCUGAUUUGAGUGAGAGAGAUGCUGGUGUCCAUUAUGUUGUCUUAUCAUCUGCCACCCACCUCUGGAAGAGAGAGACUUUGCUCAUGUGCUCUUGCAUAGCUUUUCUCACCGAGAAUGAGUGUGCUCCUGAUUCUGCUUGCCUUGUGCCCACGGUCUGAUGAAGCCUGCUUUCAUGAGAUACAGCCCUGACCAACGUGCCUUCAUGCUUCCUCCCUGCCUCAAGAAGGCAGGCUGGCCAUUGUGACCUAGUGCUGAUGUUUCUUGCCUCAAGGGGAGCAGUCAUCCAUUGUGACAUUGUACUAAUGCUGUCUGUUUGAAUGGAAGGGACCAACCAUUGCAAUCCUGUGCUGAUGCUUCCUACCCUAAGGGGAGGGACCAGCCAAUGUGACCUCAUGCUGAUGAUGCCCACCUGAGGAAAUAAGACAGAACCUGUUAUGAUCUGUGGAGCCUCAUUGCCUUGAACAUUUGUUUUUCAUCUAAAUCAACAACAUCCUUGGAUUAUGAAGUAACCGGGACUUUCUCAUAUUGCCAGAAAUGGAGGCUUGGAAUCUGUGUGAAGAUGUGGGAGACAAAGAUGUUGGAUUAUUUUACUUUCUGCCCUUGACAACCGUUGAGAAACUGCAUAUAAAAUAGUUGUCAUCUUUCAAGUUGUUUUCAUUUCUGGAGUCCCACAAAUCUAAAAAAACAGCAAAAUCACCAGUACUUUGUUUUACAGAAAUUUGGACUGCAGCACCUAUUAACUUGCAUUGGGUUGUAUCCAGAGUUGCCCUAAAAAGGCUCCUUCUCCAAAGGAAACGGGAAAGGGGAGCUGUUUUUGCCUAUUCUUCCUACAGCCUCCCGUGCCACCUUCCACACUGUCUAGAGUAGUUAUGGAUCCUUCUAUUUCUAUUUUAUGUCAUUUUCACACAUGUUCAAUCAGAAGUUGGUUCAGCCCCAUUUUCACCUAAUCUUUUUUUAAAAAAUGUGUUCCAUAAGUGAAGUUCCACUCAUGGAAACUCUGUCUGGAUCCAUAGUGAUUUUGUAACAUUUCCUUUUUUAAAAUAUGACAUUGGACAGUUCCAGACACACUGGAAAUUAAAGCAAUCAUCAGAAGUAAGCUUAUUGGGCUUAAAGUAGCAGCCAGGUAUCCUGGGGUUCAUCGCAUUUCAGCAAAAUGGUCUUGUUGCGAUCUCACUUCCAAUGCAUAUUAGUCUUAAUAUAGUCUAUCAAGCUAAUGUGCCAUACCUCUGAGAGCUGACAUACUGUGGAACCUGCACUGUAUUUCCUGCACUGGUGAAUAAGAGAUGAAAUAAGCUUGUGCAUUUAUUUUUAAGUUGCCUAGAUACAGGAUAAUCAGCCAUGAAUUUAUUCCAUCACUAACAAUUAACUACCAUCUAGAGAGAUACAGAAUUUGUCGUUAGCUUUACUGUGGAUAAUGUGCACAUGUCUUUAAGAGCAUUAAACUAAGUCAGGGAAUUGUAACAUUCCCAGCGUUUCAUUAAAUGAAAUUGGUAGUAUAUAUUUCUCUUAAUGCAAUCAUGGGGACAUUAGCUAAACACAUUUCUGAACUAAUUCUCAAAAUUGUAGGAGUGCUGAAGAAUUAAACAGGUAGCGACUCUCCUGGCAUGGUUCCCAUUUGCCAUCAUUACUUGCAUAGUUCUUCAUAUUAAUGAUUCUUUGUUGCUGAGGGAUCAGCUAGAUACAAUCAGCGCAAACAGUUCAGCAUGAUAGAGAUAAGAACAUAAAAAGAGCCUGUUGGAUCAGGCCAGUGGCCCAUCUAGUCCAGCAUCUGUUUUCAGAGGCCUGCCAGAUGUCUGUGGGAAACCUGCAAGCUGGAUUCGAGCACAAGAGCACUCCUCUCUCCUGUGGAUUCCAGAGACUGUUAUUCAGAAGCAUUUGCUGCCUCCAGCUGUGGUGGCAGAGCAUGGCUAUCAUGGCUAGUAGUCAUCAGUAGCCCUCUCCUCCAUGAAUUUGUCCAGUCCUCUUUUAAAGCCAUCCAAAUUGGUGGCCAUCACUGCCUCCUGUGGGAGCGAGCUCCAUAGUUUGACUGCACUUUGUGAAGAAAACCUGCGUGAAGAGUUCCUAGUUGGAUCUAUUCGAUUCAUCCAUCCUAUUGACAUCAGAUAUGUGUUUGUGAAAUUUAACAUCAUCGUCAUGCAUCAGGAAUCCACUGGAAACCACCUGAGGGGAAAGAGGAAGCAGAAAGCACUUAGACAAAGUA